ensembl:lncRNA
AUUUUGUCAGACUGCCCCUCUGAAGCCAUCUAUUGCACAGCAACUAGCAGAAGCAGGAGCUGCCUUCUUGGGGUGGUCUCAAAAGACAUUGGUCUUCAAUUUAGAGAUUUAGCAUAAGGUAUGUGGAGAAAGCUGUAGUUCGAACACACUUUUUUGACCUAAGCUUGUCCAAUACAAACAUACUCAAAAUACUACGUGCAAGAAACCUUGCUAAAGAUGAACACAUAUAUGAAUAUAUAUCUCUAUAUGGCUCCUAAAAACAAUACUUUUCUGAAACCCUUGUGGAGCUGAGAUAUCUUUUAGCAUUAAUGAUAGUGUUUAGAAAAGAACCAUUAUUGUGUUCCUUAGAACAUAUCUUGAUAUGGUGAUUUUUUCCCAAGAAGGGGUAGUGUAAUGGAGCAGGUUCUUUGAACAUUACAGCAAGGGAAGAAAGCUUUCUUAGGGUCAGUGGCUGGGAUAUGUGGAAUGCUGUUUGCUGAAAGGGUUUUGUGAUCAGAGAAUACUAGAUGUUUACAGAAAAAAGGACCCUUUGGUAUGGCUAUUGCUGGCAGAAACUUGUAAAUCUAAGUACAGCGAGCGAGCUCGCAGUUAGAAACAUACUUCUGUUCUGUUUUAACACAAGAUCAAAGCAUAUAAACAAAUACGGUAUUUUGGGAUUGUGUUAUGGUAGCAUUUAGGCUACCAGAACUGUAAGUCAAAUGCUCAGAAAUCGAUUGCUUUGAAUAGAAACCUGAUGAAAUAGCUUAAAUAAAAAUAUUUCUGAAAAAAUAAAAUGUACAGUUUAUAUAAAAACCUGGAGUAGUAUUGUAUACAUGCUUUAGAAGGCAACACCCUGCCUUUUUAAUUCUUAAGCUUUAAAGUAGUUCUAUAAACGAUAAAAUCACUUCCCAAACAGUACAAGAUUUUGGCUUUUUGAAACAUUCAUUAUGUUGAAUCCUCUGAGAAGUUGGCCCCAUCUUGAUGGAUUUCUCAAAAGAUUUAUAAUUUUUGCCUUUUUCAUGUCAUUUUUCUUUUAUUCUAUCAACUCAAGUGAAUCAUCCUUAUUGUAAUGAAUAGCACCGAAACAAGGCUUAAAUCAUACUUCCUCAGUUAAAAAACAAAGUCUUAUUUUGCCAGUCUAGAAUAUCUAUUUUCUACACAAUGAUAUGCAAUCUUUGUAACUCCAUCCAGUAUUUGCCAGGCAAAAGUAAAAGUGAUACUUAAUAUUACAAAGCGAUUAAUACAGCUAUAUCACAGUAACUAAUUUGAUUUGUUAUAUUUGUCAAAAUAGAUAGGACUGUAUUUGUGUAUGCAGUGCAGUAUAGUUUUAUCUAUUCAGUUCUGACACAAAUAUAUCUGUGCAGUUGCUGUUAUUUUCACUUAGAAUCAAUUAAAUAAAAGCUCUUU